rnacentral:lncRNA from 1 species
AAAGGAUAAAUUAAUGGUUGCAGCAGCCUUGCUCUCACCUAUCAUCUCUCCAACACCGAGAAAAAGAAAGGACAAGGAAAAUGCUCAUUCCUUUUAACCACUUCCCAUCACCGUCAGCAUCAUUCAUCUUUCUCCAAUUAAUAAAACACGUUCCAGCCCCUUUUUUAGAAGAAAGAAAUUGCUUAAUAAUUCAAUAAUUCCUCCCUACAUGAGCCAAGACCGUGAGCUUCCUUGAUGGGUGCUGCAGCAGUAUUCCAUCUAGCUGGGACCGUGACACCACACCACAAAAUGCAAAAUAAGAUGCAAUGGGUUUCAAUUGAAAAGACAACAAU